rnacentral:rRNA from 1 species
UACGUAGGGUGCAAGCGUUAAUCGGAAUUACUGGGCGUAAAGCGUGCGCAGGCGGUUUUGUAAGUCUGUCGUGAAAUCCCCGGGCUCAACCUGGGAAUUGCGUUGGAGACUGCAAGGCUAGAAUCUGGCAGAGGGGGGUAGAAUUCCGCGUGUAGCAGUGAAAUGCGUAGAGAUGUGGAGGAACACCGAUGGCGAAGGCAGCCCCCUGGGUCAAGAUUGACGCUCAUGCACGAAAGCGUGGGGAGCAAACAGG